CGACCGGCGCACGGGUGAGUAACACGUAUGCGACCUGCCCGUAGCAGGGGGAUAAGCGGAAGAAAUUCCGUCUAAUACCGCGUAAUAUCUUUCGGGGGCAUCCCUGAGGGAUUAAAGGAAGCGAUUCCGGCUACGGAUGGGCAUGCGGCGCAUUAGCUAGUCGGCGGGGUAACGGCCCACCGAGGCGACGAUGCGUAGGGGUUCUGAGAGGAAGGUCCCCCACACUGGUACUGAGACACGGACCAGACUCCUACGGGAGGCAGCAG
rnacentral:rRNA from 1 species